UAUUAAAUAAAAUUAGUUUUUUUAUAUAGAUAUUACUAUUUUUGAAAUAGUUAUUAAUAAAACUUACGGAUCCGGAUAUCCGGACUAAAAAAUCGAGAUAUCCGGAUCCGGUAGAAUAGUUUUGGGAAACAAAUGAUGUACGAGCAUUUUACUAUCCGGAUCCGGAUUCGGCCCCUCCGGAUAUCCGGAUUUUCGGAUCGGAUCCAGAUCGAAUCUCGGAUCGAAUCCGGAUCUCGGAUAAAAAUCCCAGAACUGGUAUUGUGAAUAUAUUUUACAUUUGCGAGUAAACUUUUAUGGAUAAAUAAAAGUGAAGCAAUUGGACAGUGCCACAUGUCUUCGUCGGCUCUUUAAAAUCAGUCAGAGAUUGGUCGCAGAAAAACUAGAAAGUAUUGCACUCUAGAACACUUUAUGAGUUGUUAAUAACACUCUAGGAUACUCUGUGCUCCAAGAGGACUUUGUUGGCUCUCUACAUGUAAAUGAGAACUUGAAAUUCCACAACUACCCUUCUUCUUUCUAACAAUUAAGAAACUUAAAUCUCAUUUAUCUUCUAUUUUCCCUGAAUUUCUCGAUCUACAAACUAAAUUAGGGUUUUUGAUUUCUGCAUUUACCUUCGAUUCUUUAAUUUUUCUCACUAGAUUCAUAGAGAUUCACCUUCUCAGAUCACCUGUUUGUGAAUCCGACGAUCUUUCUUCUUGUUCCGCCGGAACUCAAACCCCUGCUCUGGAAUGGUAUUUCGUUACAAGAACCUCGUUAAAACCACUAGACGAAAGGGACAAAAAAGAGAGAUGAUGUAGAGAUGUGAGUUUCUGAGGACACUGCCCAUCAUCUAUUCUUUUGAACCAUGCCUGCAAGUGCCACCUUCGAAGAGAAGAUGCCAUUGAAUCUCAUCAGUUUAAGAAUGAAGCUUUAUGUGUUAUCUCAUAAUCCGUCAGAUUCACCCUCGACGAUUGCUCCGCCGUCAAAGUGAGGUACCUGUAUCACCGUCGGUUCCAGCUCCUCGGAGGGUGAGGAAGAGUCCACUUAGCUUUGACACCAUUUUCAGACAAAGAGCUAGGAGGUUUACGACUUUACGGCGGUGGGAUCAGAAGAGGAUGAGAGCAAGUGAAUAUGGCACACACAAAGUUUUAGCCUUCAAAAUAUGAAUCUACUGAACACACGCGUUGGUGGAUGUUGUUUGUUUGGGUCUUCAUAGAACUUUCUUGAAAUGAAUUAUAUUUUCAUUUCAUUUGCUUCUUUACCUUGACUCUUUUUCUUAUCACUUUUGUCCAAGCUUCUUACUGACUCAGAGUGUCUCUGUAUCCAGCUGGAUACCUCUUAUGCAGCCUUGCACGUUAUGUUGAAAUAAGUACGAUGAUUGUUUGCUACAAAGGCUUGCAACCUUGCACAUUAUGCAUGUUGCUUUUUGCUAUUUACUUGUAAACAAUUUUCAUUUGUACACACAUGAAAGCUAAGAUUUAUGGGUUAUGAAGAACAAUGAGCAUAAUA